CUUAGGUCCAGUCACUCUUCACCCAAGCUCCGUCGCCAGUACCCCAGGCAGGCGGCCCUAGAGGUCACCGCUCGCUACUGUGGCCGGGAGCUGGAGCAGUAUGGCCAGUGUGUGGCGGCCAAGCCGGAAUCCUGGCAGCGGGACUGUCACUACCUUAAGAUGAGCAUUGCCCAAUGCACAUCCUCCCACCCAAUCAUCCGCCAGAUCCGCCAGGCCUGUGCUCAGCCUUUUGAGGCCUUCGAGGAGUGUCUUCGACAGAACGAGGCAGCUGUGGGCAACUGUGCGGAGCAUAUGCGCCGCUUCCUGCAGUGCGCUGAGCAAGUGCAGCCGCCACGCUCACCUGCAACUGUGGAGGCACAGCCACUUCCUGCCUCCUGAGGACUCCUCUGACUGCAGGAAAACUGGACAUGAAUGACUGCCCCCCCGCCCCUCCCCUGCAGAGUGGCCAGAUGGAGUCCUGAGCCCUGGCCAUGGGCCUGGCUUUCCUGGAUAUCAGGACUUCCAAUAAAUAAAGACUCUGUAUACUGGG
rnacentral:sRNA from 1 species